UAUUAGGAAAAAAACCCCAUAAAAGUUGUGGAAAAAAUAUUUCCACCCUCUUGAAAUUUUCAACCAAGAGAUGUUCAAAAAACUCAAAAAUAUUAUGAAUUUAUAUUAAUCAACAGACUCUGUGGUGAUUAAGCAUAACAAAGAUAAAAAUAAUUCAAAUAAAAUUAUUCAUGCAUCAGUUCAAAUCAUACAAGUCUUGAUUCCUACUUCUUGGGG
rnacentral:lncRNA from 1 species